rnacentral:rRNA from 1 species
GUCACACUGCCAAGAAAAGCUUCUAGUGAGAAAGUAACUGCCCGUACCGCAAACCGACACAGGUAGUUGAGGAGAGAAUCCUAAGGUGUGCGAGAGAACUCUCGUUAAGGAACUCGGCAAAAUGACCCCGUAACUUCGGGAGAAGGGGUGCUGACCGCAAGGUCAGCCGCAGUGAAUAGGCCCAAGCGACUGUUUAUCAAAAACACAGGUCUCUGCAAAAUCGAAAGAUGACGUAUAGGGGCUGACGCCUGCCCGGUGCUGGAAGGUUAAGAGGAGAGGUUAGCGCAAGCGAAGCUUUGAAUUGAAGCCCCAGUAAACGGCGGCCGUAACUAUAACGGUCCUAAGGUAGCGAAAUUCCUUGUCGGGUAAGUUCCGACCCGCACGAAAGGCGUAACGAUUUGGGCACUGUCUCAACGAGAGACUCGGUGAAAUUAUAGUACCAGUGAAGAUGCAGGUUACCCGCGACAGGACGGAAAGACCCCAUGGAGCUUUACUGCAGAUUGAUAUUGCGUGUUUGUAUCACAUGUACAGGAUAGGUAGGAGCCGAAGAUACCGGGACGCCAGUCUCGGAGGAGGCAACGGUGGGAUACUACCCUUGUGAUAUGACCACUCUAACCCGCUGCUCUUAGCGAGCAGGGAGACAGUGUCAGACGGGCAGUUUGACUGGGGCGGUCGCCUCCAAAAAUGUAACGGAGGCGCCCAAAGGUUCCCUCAGAAUGGUUGGAAAUCAUUCGUAGAGUGUAAAGGCAGAAGGGAGCUUGACUGCGAGACCUACAAGUCGAGCAGGGACGAAAGUCGGGCUUAGUGAUCCGGUGGUUCCGCAUGGAAGGGCCAUCGCUCAACGGAUAAAAGCUACCCUGGGGAUAACAGGCUUAUCUCCCCCAAGAGUUCACAUCGACGGGGAGGUUUGGCACCUCGAUGUCGGCUCAUCGCAUCCUGGGGCUGUAGUCGGUCCCAAGGGUUGGGCUGUUCGCCCAUUAAAGCGGUACGCGAGCUGGGUUCAGAACGUCGUGAGACAGUUCGGUCCCUAUCCGUCGCGGGCGUUGGAAAUUUGAGAGGAGCUGUCCUUAGUACGAGAGGACCGGGAUGGACACACCGCUGGUGUACCAGUUGUUCUGCCAAGAGCAUCGCUGGGUAGCUAUGUGUGGACGGGAUAAACGCUGAAAGCAUCUAAGCGUGAAGCCCCCCUCAAGAUGAGAUUUCCCAUCACUUUAAGUGAGUAAGACCCCUGAGAGAUGAUCAGGUAGAUAGGUUGGGAGUGGAAGUACAGCGAUGUAUGGAGCGGACCAAUACUAAUCGGUCGAGGACUUAACCG